rnacentral:rRNA from 2 species
UUGAAGGUUGGGUAACACUAACUGGAGGACCGAACCGACUAAUGUUGAAAAAUUAGCGGAUGACCUGUGGCUGGGGGUGAAAGGCCAAUCAAACCGGGAGAUAGCUGGUUCUCCCCGAAAGCUAUUUAGGUAGCGCCUCGUGAAUUCAUCUCCGGGGGUAGAGCACUGUUUCGGCUAGGGGGCCAUCCCGGCUUACCAACCCGAUGCAAACUGCGAAUACCGGAGAAUGUUAUCACGGGAGACACACGGCGGGUGCUAACGUCCGUCGUGAAGAGGGAAACAACCCAGACCGCCAGCUAAGGUCCCAAAGUCAUGGUUAAGUGGGAAACGAUGUGGGAAGGCCCAGACAGCCAGGAUGUUGGCUUAGAAGCAGCCAUCAUUUAAAGAAAGCGUAAUAGCUCACUGGUCGAGUCGGCCUGCGCGGAAGAUGUAACGGGGCUAAACCAUGCACCGAAGCUGCGGCAGCGACACUGUGUGUUGUUGGGUA